UGCCAGCCGCCGCGGUAAUACGGAGGGUGCAAGCGUUGUUCGGAUUUAUUGGGCGUAAAGCGAGUGUAGGUGGUUUGUCAAGUCGGGUGUGAAAUCCCAGGGCCCAACCCUGGAACUGCACCCGAUACUGGCAGGCUAGAGUCCCGGAGAGGAUGGCGGAAUUCCCGGUGUAGGGGUGAAAUCCGUAGAUAUCGGGAGGAACACCAGUGGCGAAGGCGGCCAUCUGGACGGUGACUGACACUGAGACCCGAAAGCGUGGGUAGCAAACAGGAUUAGAUA
rnacentral:rRNA from 1 species